GGAGUUUUCACAUUCUAAAGUGAUCAAACAAUUUGGUAUUUUUGCCUGUCAACAAGAAAAAAAUAUGUCUAAAGUUCUUAGUUUUGUUUAUAUUAUAAUUAAUUUUCUUUUCUUAACCAUAGAAGGUUCAACUUACGUUGGAUUAGAUUUGUGCAGUUCUGAUAAAGAUUGUUCUGCUACUAAGUGUGUGUUUGCUGAAGUUGCAAAAUGUAUAAAGCACAUUUGUAAAUGUGGAAAAUAUUAAUGGUACCUCUAACAUGUAGCUUUUAAAAAAUAGGGUUAAAUAAGUUUUUGGUCCCUAUAAAUAUUGCAGUUUUCAAUUUUAGUCCCUCCCUACUUUUAGGCAACGGAUUUUACGAAAAAACCGUUGGCAAAACCAGCUAAAACCGUUGCCAAAACUCAGGAGCGACUAAAAAUGAAAUUGCAAUAUUUAUAGGGACCAAAAACUUAUUUAACCCUAAAAAAUAAUAUUCCCUCCGUCUCACAAUAGGUGUCUUCGUUAAAAUUUUCACACUUUUUAUGAAAAUGAUUAAUUAUGUUAAUUUCAAUGAUAAAAUGAGUCUCAUUUAUUAAAAUAACUUUAUUAAUAAUAGAUAGUGGAGUACUUAAAUGAAUUAAAUUACAAUAAAUAAGAGUAAGUUAGUGGAAAUAAAUAAUAAAUAUCACAUUGGUAUUCUAAAUGGACAAAUAAUUUUAGACAAAUAAAAAUAAGAAAGAAGACACCUAUUGUAAGAUGGAGGGAGUAAAUAAAUGUUGUUGCUUUUAUCUUUUCUCUCACACUUCAAUCGUGUUUGUUGUCCCUUUAAAUUUAUAUUUUUCUUUUGAA